AGAGUUUGAUCCUGGCUCAGAGCGAACGCUGGCGGCGUGCUUAACACAUGCAAGUCGAGUGCGCGCCCGUAGCAAUACGGGUGGCGCACGGCGCACGGGUGCGUAACACGUGGGCAAUCUGCCCUCGGAUGGGGGAUAACCCCGCGAAAGCGGGGCUAAUAUCGCAUGACAUUCCGGAGACUCCGGUCUCUGGACUCAAAGGCCGCAAGGCCGUCUGAGGAGGAGCCCGCGCCCGAUUAGCUAGUUGGUGAGGUAACGGCUCACCAAGGCUUUGAUCGGUAGCCGGUCUGAGAGGAUGGCCGGCCACACUGGAACUGAGACACGGUCCAGACUCCUACGGGAGGCAGCAGUGGGGAAUAUUGCGCAAUGGGCGAAAGCCUGACGCAGCGACGCCGCGUGGGGGAUGAAGCUUCUCGGAGUGUAAACCCCUUUCGACCCGGACGAAUGACCCGCAAGGGUUUGACGGUACGGGUAUAAGAAGCCCCGGCUAACUACGUGCCAGCAGCCGCGGUAAUACGUAGGGGGCCAGCGUUGCUCGGAAUUACUGGGCGUAAAGGGUUCGUAGGUGGUGCGGCAAGUUGGAAGUGAAAUCUCUGGGCUUAACCCAGAGGCUGCUUUCAAAACUGCCGUGCUCGAGUGCG
rnacentral:rRNA from 1 species